AGCCAGGACUGACUGUACUGCCUGUCUGCUGUUUUCAGCUUCACUCACAGACUCAAUGGCUUCCAGAUCAGAGGAGGAUCUCUGCUGUCCGGUCUGUCAGGAGGUCUUCAGAGAUCCUGUUCUUCUGUCAUGUAGCCACAGCUUCUGUAAAGACUGUCUGAAGAGAUGGUGGAGAGAGAGACCAACACACGAGUGUCCAGUUUGUAAGGAAAUAUCAGUUUAUGAUCCACCUUUAAACCGAGCUUUAAAGAACCUGUGUGAGUCGUUCUUACAGGAGAGAGAUCAGAGAGCUUCAGAGGCUCUCUGCAGUCUGCACUCUGAGAAACUCAAACUCUUCUGUCUGGACCAUCAGCAGCCAGCGUGUGUCGUCUGCUGUGCCUCAGAAAAACACACCAAUCACAGAUUCAGACCCAUCGAUGAAGCUGCACAACAACACAAGAAGGAACUUCAGGAAACUCUGGAGCCCUUAAAGAAGAAGUUAAAGGUUUGUGAAGAAGUUCAAGUGAAGUUUGAUCAAACAGCAGAACACAUUAAGGUCCAGGCCCGACACACAGAGAGGCAGAUUAAGGAGCAGUUUAAGAAGCUUCACCAGUUUCUAGCAGAGGAAGAGGAGGCCAGGCUGGCUGCACUGAGGAAGGAAGAGGAGCAGAAGAGUGGGAUGAUGAAGGAGAAGAUGGAGGCUCUGAGCAGAGAGAUAGCAGCUCUUUCAGACACAGUCAGAGCCACAGAGAAGGAGCUGAGAGCUGAAGACGUCUUAUUCCUGCACAACUACAAGGUUGCAGUGGAAAGAGUCCAGCGCUGCCCCCUGCUGGAUGAUCCACAGCUGCCCUCAGGAGCUCUGAUAGACCAGGCCAAACACCUGGGCAACCUGACCUUCAACAUCUGGAACAACAUGAAGGACAUGGUCUCCUACACUCCUCUCAUUCUGGACCCAAACACUGCUCAUCCAGAACUCAUCCUGUCUGAAGAUCUGACCAGUGUGAGAGUAGGAGAUGAACAGCAGCUUCCUGAUAAUCCAGAAAGGUUUCAGUUGUUCUGCUCUGUCCUGGGCUCUGAAGGCUUUAACUCAGGGACUCACAGCUGGGAUAUUGAGGUUGGAGACAGCGUAGACUGGGACUUGGGUGUGUUAGCAGAAUCUAGCCAGAGGAAGGGAAAUAAACGGUCCAGAUUAUGGGAAAUAGGGUUAAGUUCAGAAAUCCUCUGGAUGUCAGUGCUUCCAGCUGCUACACCUGCUGCUAAAUGACUCACGCCAGUAU